rnacentral:rRNA from 1 species
UGAGUAACCUGCCCCAGACUCUGGGAUAAGCACUGGAAACGGUGUCUAAUACCGGAUAUGAGCUUCAGCCGCAUGGCUAGGAGUUGGAAAGAAUUUCGGUUUGGGAUGGACUCGCGGCCUAUCAGCUUGUUGGUGAGGUAAUGGCUCACCAAGGCUACGAUCAGUAGCUGGUCUGAGAGGAUGAUCAGCCACAUUGGGACUGAGACACGGCAAACUCCG